GACGAACGCUGGCGGCGUGCUUAACACAUGCAAGUCGAACGAUGAAGCCUUCGGGUGGAUUAGUGGCGAACGGGUGAGUAACACGUGGGCAAUCUGCCCUGUACUUUGGGAUAAGCCUUGGAAACGGGGUCUAAUACCGGAUAUCACUUCUGACCGCAUGGUUGGUUGUUGAAAGUUCUGGCGGUACAGGAUGAGCCCGCGGCCUAUCAGCUUGUUGGUGGGGUAAUGGCCUACCAAGGCGACGACGGGUAGCCGGCCUGAGAGGGUGACCGGCCACACUGGGACUGAGACACGGCCCAGACUCCUACGGGAGGCAGCAGUGGGGAAUAUUGCACAAUGGGCGAAAGCCUGAUGCAGCGACGCCGCGUGAGGGAUGACGGCCUGGUGU
rnacentral:rRNA from 1 species